rnacentral:rRNA from 1 species
GACGAACGCUGGCGGCGUGCUUAACACAUGCAAGUCGAACGGAAAGGCCCUGCUUGCAGGGUACUCGAGUGGCGAACGGGUGAGUAACACGUGGGUGAUCUGCCCUGCACUUCGGGAUAAGCCUGGGAAACUGGGUCUAAUACCGGAUAGGAGCCAUUUUUAGUGUGAUGGUUGGAAAGUUUUUUCGGUGUAGGAUGAGCUCGCGGCCUAUCAGCUUGUUGGUGGGGUAAUGGCCUACCAAGGCGGCGACGGGUAGCCGGCCUGAGAGGGUGGACGGCCACAUUGGGACUGAGAUACGGCCCAGACUCCUACGGGAGGCAGCAGUGGGGAAUAUUACACAAUGGGCGCAAGCCUGAUGCAGCGACGCCGCGUGGGGGAUGACGGCCUUCGGGUUGUAAACUCCUUUCGCUAGGGACGAAGCUUUUUGUGACGGUACCUAGAUAAGAAGCACCGGCUAACUACGUG